ensembl:lncRNA
AGCAUGAAUGUGGUCACUUGGGUAGAGAAGGAUUUUUCCAACUGACUUAUAUGUCUACUGAAGUGCAAGUGCCGUCCAUAGAUGAACGUGUGGAGGGAAGGAGCAGUCUUGGAAACACCUCCUAAUUAACCAAGGAAACAAGAGAUUUCUUGAGAAGCAUGGCUGCAAGAAGAGAUUUGGUCUUUCCUCUGCUGGGUUUGCAUCCAGUAGAUGAAGAAUGGCAAAGGACCGUCCCUUGCGAGAGCCUCUCCCCUGCAGGAGCCAGCGAUGCACAAAGAGCUGCUGUAAAUCAACCUGGCAGCAGCAAUAACAUCUGACAGUGCCAAAAGAGCCCCUCGUUGGCUCUGCUGUCUGGAAAUGCCUAGCCGAUGGCAGGGUUUGUAUUUAUGCUUCUUGGUAGUUUGUCCAUACAUCAGUUUAUUUAUAAGCAGAGCACUUGCCCAGAAAGGCCCAUGUUUUCUAUGGCCACCCCAAGGGUUUCUCUCUGUUUGGUUUCCAAAGCACACACGUGGAAAGUGGAGGAGCGAACUGCUGCACCAGGAAGAGUUAGUCAUUUGUCCAGGAUUAUUUUUCCAGGUGGAUUUUAUAAGAAGCACAAGGCAGGAGGAGGUACAGCCCAACGGAGUCAGCCACAUGGUGUGCAGUUUUGCCCUAUCCUUUAGGCAUGAUCCCCUCAAGUGUGAGAGCACCAGAAGUGAAGAUGAUGAAGCUAAGGGAGUCAGAAGUCCUCCUUGGGGGUUUGACAUCUGUGGUCUUGAAGCCCACGCUCAGACACCUGCAAGGGAUGCGGAGCCAGCUUGGCUCUUGGCUGGGCUGGCUGAGACCCAGAGCUGCUGACCAAGGUGGAGCUGUGCCAGGCAGACAGGAACAUGGCUGAAGUCUGUGAUUGCGUGAUAUCCUGUUCUGUCCGUGCCCCCGGGCUGAUGGACCACCCUCAUGCAAACCAGGUCACUUCUGCAGGAGUUUAAUACUUCUCCAAAAUAGAGCUUGGGUGGUAAUCCAACGAUGAUUGCUCCCUGAGAUGAAUGCAGCAGUGAUAAACCCUUCUAGGCAAAUAUAGACGGCCUCUUUGUACACAAUGAGAAAAGACACGGAAAUAGAGAAUACAGUGGGUAGAAGAUUUUGACUUUCAGUAAAGCAGUAGCUCUGAAAUUUCUUUAGGAUCCUAUGGUGACCUCUGGAGAGAAACUUGUGCACUAAGACACAGUGAAAUGGCUGCAAAAGGUGGUGAGGCUCUGUAGGUUGCUGGUUUGGCCCUCUGAGACUGCAGGAGUGAGCCGAGAGCACAGCUCAAAUGCCUCAUGCGGGAUGUGGAAGAUGAUGGAGCAUUUGCAGAUACAUAACCCUAGGGUAAUGGCAUAAUGCCAGUCCAGGGGAAACCCAGAAGGCCACUGAGAUGCCCAAGAGCAUUUGCAAUGGAAAGGCAAAGCUGGAAGAGCCAGAGAAGAAGAGCUGAUGGCAUGAUGCUACAACCAUAGGCACUCCCAGGGCAGCACAUGGAGGCACAUCAGACAAUAGUCAGAACUGUCACAUGCACUGCUGCUUGUAGGGCAUCCACAUAGCUGCUUUUAUCCCAGUUGGCACGUACUGGCUUGGAUGAGCCCGAGGUCCUGGUGAACACUGAAUAACUGUAGCAGAGCUGUGCAUAGACAGGCUCUGCAAUGGCCAGCUCACCUGUUCUGCGUAGAUUCCUUCCUACAUGGAACCAAUCCACAGAGAGCUGAGCUCGGGUCUCCAUGUGCCUGAAGGUUUGUUUUGGGGACAGAAAUAACAGGAUAAAUUGUUUAGAGG